UUUAGGGUUAAGGGUUAAGGUUUGUACAUAUUGUGAGUACUAGCAUGGUUGCAACUACAUUAUAUUAAUAAUAGAUGAUUGUCUCAUUCUUUCAAAAUACUGUGCUAUAGUGCUCUUCUCUGGUUCUACCAACUCAUUAUGAGUUAUUCAUACUUAGCUUUAUACUCCUCCAUGGAUAAGCUCUUUUGUUAUAAAUAGUGAAGCCUCAAAACGAAACCCUUCUUGUAGUGUGCUAGGAGAUAUUUGUGUUGCAUCUCAUUCAUCUUAGAGUAGAUCAUGUUCUAGCUAUUUACGUCCUCACAGGCACAGACACUUUUGAUUCUCUCACCACAUAGAAGUGCUUUGCUUUAAUUCUUCCCUUUGCAGAAUGUCUUUGUACUCAAAGAUCGAUUCCACAGUUUAAAGCCGUUCAAUAAACUCUUUUAGAUUCAUAUGACCAUAAAUAUCCAGUAAAUCAAUAUUUAUCUCAAAAUCACUCUCUCUUCUUUUAUACUCAAUAUCAAAUUGGUGAGAUAUUGGUUUCUCAUCACUUAAAACUUUUUGGUGGAAGGAGUUUUCAUCUUCUACAUCCGAUUAGCCACCAGUAUAGUUAUGGGUAGCUAAACUGUAAUUUAAGAAUUUCUCGCUGCAUAUCAUCCUUGGUAAGCUUUUUAAUAUUUCUUUGGUGCUUUUCUUUGUUGGCAUGGUAGAUUUCCUUGACUUGGUGUUUCGGCCAAGGCAGAGGUGGCAGUUUUUGAGUGGCUAAAGGUGAGAGAAACUAGGGUUAUGGUAGAGUAGGUAUAUUUAUAUGUUGGUAGAUGGAUUAGCUUAUAUGACUUUAGUUUAAAUGAAGGUUAAUAAAUUCCUAAAAUUUUAGGUUUUAUAUGGCUCUAAUACCAAAUGCCAUUUAUCCAAAACUCCUAGUGUUAUUUCAGGAUUAAGAGGUGGGGAUCUUGUAUCUAAAAGCAAAAUUUUGAUAAUAACAAUGGUAUGGAGGAGGAGGAGGAGGGGAAUAACUAUUAUGUGAAAACAGCUGAUGAUGAUGUCGGGGGUCUACGGAUGUAGAGGAGGAUCCACCUUUUAUUCCUAAUCAAGUUGCAAACACACCAUUUGCAAAAGGAAGAUGAUGCAACUCUUCAAAUAGGAGAAAUUCAAAGAAGAAAAACCUUUAAUGUUAUAUAUAUACAUAGCAAGCAAACAGAAAACCCUAAUUCAUCUCCUGGAUAUGGUAAAUAGCAGCACCAAAGGGGCCCUGCCAGUUCUUGGGGUAAAAUCUCUGAACCAGCCUUGAAAUUCAAUCGGUCGCAGUUUUGUCCAGUCCUGCUCAAUACCAUGCGGUUCACGGUUGCCCAACGUUACUGUUGCUAUUUUUGACUUCAAAUUAUACUAUAUAUCCUAAAGAUUGAAGAAGGAUAUAUUAAAGGGAUAGAUUGAAGAAGGAUAGAUUGAAGGGAUUCACGCAGCUUCAUUGGCUCCACCUAUCAAAUAGAAAUGUGCUUCGGUUGCGGUCUACAAAUUGGCUUACCUUUUGGCACCUUUACUCCAAGCAAAAAGUCUUAUCUAAUUAUAACUAAAAUAUUAAGUUGAGCAGUAAAGAAAAAGUUUUGAAUUCUUGUUUCGUAUUGAAUGUAGGAAAUCUGGAAUUUUGUUAAGUUCUAUUACUACUUGAAACAUAAACUCUGAUCUAAUUGGAAACAAAAACUUAAGUUGGAUACUAAGGGAACAAUCUUUGAAUUCUUGUUCUGUAUUAAAUGCAGGAAAUCCGCAAUUUUUCUUAGUUUUAUUAGAACUUGAAAGAGCAUUUCUUACCUUGCUAGGAUCUCUCCAUUCAUUUCCAUAGCCAAUAUGUUCAAGCACCGAACUUUUCUCAGCCAUCUCAGCAUGAAUAUAUGCCUGAGACAUACGGGAUCAUAUAGAAUAUGCUAAAAGCCUUUUCCGUAUUCAAAUACAUUGGUAGAGGACUACAGUGGGGACCAUAGAUGGUCUCAGUUUUAAUGGCUGAUGGUUCA